rnacentral:rRNA from 1 species
GAUGAACGCUGGCGGCGUGCCUAAUACAUGCAAGUCGAGCGAACAGACGAGGAGCUUGCUCCUCUGACGUUAGCGGCGGACGGGUGAGUAACACGUGGAUAACCUACCUAUAAGACUGGGAUAACUUCGGGAAACCGGAGCUAAUACCGGAUAAUAUAUUGAACCGCAUGGUUCAAUAGUGAAAGACGGUUUUGCUGUCACUUAUAGAUGGAUCCGCGCCGCACUAGCUAGUUGGUAAGGUAACGGCUUACCAAGGCAACGAUGCGUAGCCGACCUGAGAGGGGAAUCGGCCACCCUGAAACUAGACCACGGCCCAGACCCCCACGGGAGGCAGCAGGGGGGAAUUUGCCGCAUGGGGGAAAACCCUGACGGGGCAACGCCGGGGGGGGAAGAAGGGUUUUGGAUUGGAAAAAACCUUUUAUUGGGAAAAAAAAAAUGUAUAGAUAACUUUGCACUUUUGGAGGGAACCAAAUAAGAAAGCCCGGCCAAACUACGG